UACGUAGGGUGCGAGCGUUAAUCGGAAUUACUGGGCGUAAAGCGUGCGUAGGCGGUUUCUUAAGUCUGCUGUGAAAGCCCUGGGCUCAACCUGGGAAUGGCGGUGGAUACUGAGAAGCUGGAGUACGGUAGAGGAAGGUGGAAUUCCCGGUGUAGCGGUGAAAUGCGUAGAGAUCGGGAGGAACAUCAGUGGCGAAGGCGGCCUUCUGGACCAGUACUGACGCUGAGGCACGAAAGCGUGGGGAGCAAACAGG
rnacentral:rRNA from 1 species